rnacentral:rRNA from 1 species
UCUCCGUAGGUGAACCUGCGGAGGGAUCAUUACAAGAACGCCCGGGCUUCGGCCUGGUUAUUCAUAACCCUUUGUUGUCCGACUCUGUUGCCUCCGGGGCGACCCUGCCUUCGGGCGGGGGCUCCGGGUGGACACUUCAAACUCUUGCGUAACUUUGCAGUCUGAGUAAACUUAAUUAAUAAAUUAAAACUUUUAACAACGGAUCUCUUGGUUCUGGCAUCGAUGAAGAACGCAGCGAAAUGCGAUAAGUAAUGUGAAUUGCAGAAUUCAGUGAAUCAUCGAAUCUUUGAACGCACAUUGCGCCCCCUGGUAUUCCGGGGGGCAUGCCUGUUCGAGCGUCAUUUCACCACUCAAGCCUCGUUUGGUAUUGGGCAACGCGGUCCGCCGCGUGCCUCAAAUCGUCCGGCUGGGUCUUCUGUCCCCUAAGCGUUGUGGAAACUAUUCGCUAAAGGGUGUUCGGGAGGCUACGCCGUAAAACAACCCCAUUUCUAAGGUUGACCUCGGAUCAGGUAGGGAUACCCGCUGAACUUAAGCAUAUCA